UUGUAGCUUACUGGCAUACGGCUCACUAACGCGUAGUCAACCUAACCUAUGGACGGGAAUAACCUCGGGAAACUGAGAAUAAUGCCCGAUAGAACACUAUACCUGGAAUGGUUUGUGUUCCAAAUGAUUUAUCGCCAUAUGAUGGGACUGCGGCCUAUCAGUUUGUUGGUGAGGUAAUGGCCCACCAAGACUAUUACAGGUACGGGCUCUGAGAGGAGUAGCCCGGAAAUGGGUACUGAGACACGGACCCAGGCCCUAUGGGGCGCAACAUGCGAGAAAACUUUGCAAUGUGCGAAAGCACGACAAGGUUAAUCCGAGUGAUUUGUGCUAAACGAAUCUUUUGUUAGUCCUAGAAACACUAACGAAUAAGGGGUGGGCAAGUUCUGGUGCCAGCCGCCGCGGUAAAACCAGCACCUCAAGUGGUCAGGAUGAUUAUUGGGCCUAAAGCAUCCGUAACCGGCUCUGUAAGUUUUCGGUUAAAUCUGUACGCUUAGCUUACAGGCUGCCGGGAAUACUGCAGAGCUAGGGAGUGGGAGAGGUAGACGGUACUCUGUAGGAAGUGGUAAAAUGCUUUGAUCUAUCGAUGACCACCUGUGGCG
rnacentral:rRNA from 1 species